rnacentral:rRNA from 1 species
GAUGAACGCUGGCGGCGUGCCUAAUACAUGCAAGUCGAGCGAACGGACGAGAAGCUUGCUUCUCUGAUGUUAGCGGCGGACGGGUGAGUAACACGUGGAUAACCUACCUAUAAGACUGGGAUAACUUCGGGAAACCGGCGCUAAUACCGGAUAAUAUUUUUAACCGCAUGGUUCAACAGUGAAGGACGGUCUUGCGGUCACUUCUAGAUGGAUCCGCGCUGCAUUAGCUAGUUGGUAAGGUAACGGCUUACCAAGGCAAGGAUGCGUAGCCGACCGGAGGGGCUGAUCGCCCACCCUGGAGCUGGGGCACGCUCCAUAGUCCUGCGGGAGGCACCAGUAGGGUACGUUCCGCAGCAGGCGAAAGCAUUACGGAGCAACGCCGCGCGAGUUAUGAAGGUCUUCGGAUCGUAAAACUCUGUUAUGGGUUGAGAACAUAUGUGUAAGGAACUGUGCACAUCUUGACGGUACCUGAUCAGAAAGCCCCGGCUAACUACGUG